rnacentral:rRNA from 1 species
GUCCUUAUGGUGGUAUAUAAGGUCUGGCCUGCCCACUGAUUUUUUAAAGGGCCGCGGUAUAUUAACCGUGCGAAGGUAGCAUAGUCAAUAGUCUUUUAAUUUGAGGCUUGAAUGAAUGGUCGGACAUGAAGAAAGCUGUCUUAUCUGAUAAAGUUGAACUUAACUUGUGUGUGAAAAGGCACAAAUGUUCUAAAGGGACGAUAAGACCCUAUAAAACUUUAUGAGUUAUGAGGUGUUUCUUGAUUUGUGAUGUAAACGGGGGUUAGUCGGACUCAUUGUGCUGGGGCGGCUAGAAUAUAAAUGUAACUGUUCUUGUUUACAAAAUAAUUAUAAUUAGAUUUUGACCCUGAUAUUUGGUUUAAAAAAGUAAGUUACUUUAGGGAUAACAGCGUUAUUUCUCUUGAGAGUUCAUAUCGACAGAGACAUUUGCGACCUCGAUGUUGAAUUAAAGCUUUUUUUAGGAGUAGAAGUUUAAAAGGUGGGUCUGUUCGACCC